rnacentral:RNase_P_RNA from 1 species
GGUAGUGGUAGCAGAAAGCGUAGGGUUUUGAACCCAGGAAAGUCCGCCCAUUGAGUAUCAUGGUUACCUUUGAAAGAAGGGUGGGGAAAUCCCACAGCUCUGGAUUAGAAACGACACGUCCUAUAAAAUUGGAAUGAUUGGAAGUCCUAAUGGCGAAAUUAUUUGAGAAAAUAAUGAGUUAACUCCUUGACGUCUUUAUAGGGAACGAUGAAACGGCGAAUCUUAACCAAUGCAAGUCAGUUUGACGCUUAGUAGAAUGCUUUCAUGGAUCAUCGCAAUCUUUUAAGGUUGUUUGGGUCCAACAAAAGGUGGCUUAUGCUGCCCUACC